GUGGAUUAGAUACCCUGGUAGUCCACGCCGUAAACGAUGGAUACUAGCUGUUGGGCGCAAGUUCAGUGGUUAAGCGAAAGUGAUAAGUAUCCCACCUGGGGAGUACGUUCGCAAGAAUGAAACUCAAAGGAAUUGACGGGGGCCCGCACAAGCGGUGGAGCAUGUGGUUUAAUUCGAUGAUACGCGAGGAACCUUACCAAGGCUUAAAUGCAGACUGACCGAUUUGGAAACAGAUCUUUCGCAAGACAGUUUACAAGGUGCUGCAUGGUUGUCGCCAACU
rnacentral:rRNA from 1 species